GGGCCCGCACAAGCAGUGGAUUAUGUGGUUUAAUUCGAAGCAACGCGAAGAACCUUACCAGGUCUUGACAUCGGAUGCAUACCUGAGAGAUCAGGGAAGUCCUUCGGGACAUCCAGACAGGUGGUGCAUGGUUGUCGUCAGCUCGUGUCGUGAGAUGUUGGGUUAAGUCCCGCAACGAGCGCAACCCUUACGAAUAGUUGCUACGCAAGAGCACUCUAUUGGGGACUGCCGUUGACAAAACGGAGGAAGGUGGGGAUGACGUCAAAUCAUCAUGCCCCUUAUGACCUGGGCUACACACGUAAUACAAUGGCGGUCAACAGAGGGAAGCGAAGCCGCGAGGUGGAGCAAAUCCUCAAAAGCCGUCUCAGUUCGGAUUGCAGGCUGCAACCCGCCUGCAUGAAGUCGGAAUUGCUAGUAAUCGCGGAUCAGCAUGCCG
rnacentral:rRNA from 1 species